rnacentral:rRNA from 1 species
UACGUAGGGUGCAAGCGUUUAAUCGGAAUUACUGGGCGUAAAGCGUGCGCAGGCGGUUUUGUAAGUCUGUCGUGAAAAUCCCCGGGCUCAACCUGGGAAUUGCGAUGGAGACUGCAAGGCUAGAAUCUGGCAGAGGGGGGGUAGAAUUCCACGUGUAGCAGUGAAAUGCGUAGAGAUGUGGAGGAACACCGAUGGCGAAGGCAGCCCCCCUGGGCUGACACUGACGC